UGAGGAAUAUUGGUCAAUGGGCGGGAGGCCUGAACCAGCCAAGCCGCGUGAGGGAAUAAGGCGCCAAGCGUCGUAAACCUCUUUUGUCAGGGAACAAAAGCGGGCACGCGUGCCCGUCCGAGUGUACCUGAAGAAAAAGCAUCGGCUAACUCCGUGCC
rnacentral:rRNA from 1 species